rnacentral:lncRNA from 1 species
AUGACAUCAUGUGAAGGAAAAAUGAGCUGUCCUCACUGAACCUGCCCACAUUCCCGAUUUGUAUGGAAUGUAAGUGAUUGUUGUUGUUUUAAACCACUACAUUUUGGGGUGGCUUGUUACACAGCAAUAGACAACCAUUCACCUCCUGCCUGGGUGCCAAGUGGAAGGUGGCAAAGCAUGUUGCCACCCCGGUCUGAGACUCAUCUGCUCUUCCCACCUCCUUCCACACUCGGUGUCCUCAUGUAAGAAGUCCCUUUA